GUACUGCUGAAGAGUCCCAAACUAGGACGUAACGGCUGUUCAGUAN
rnacentral:hammerhead_ribozyme from 1 species